AUUGAACGCUGGCGGCAGGCCUAACACAUGCAAGUCGAGCGGAUGAAGGGAGCUUGCUCCUGGCUUCAGCGGCGGACGGGUGAGUAAUGCCUAGGAAUCUGCCUGGUAGUGGGGGAUAACGUCCGGAAACGGGCGCUAAUACCGCAUACGUCAUGAGGGAGAAAGUGGGGGAUCUUCGGACAUCACGCUAUUAGAUGAGCCUAGGUCGGAUUAGCUAGUUGGUGGGGUAAAGGCCUACCAAGGCGACGAUCCGUAACUGGUCUGAGAGGAUGAUCAGUCACACUGGAACUGAGACACGGUCCAGACUCCUACGGGAGGCAGCAGUGGGGAAUAUUGGACAAUGGGCGAAAGCCUGAUCCAGCCAUGCCGCGUGUGUGAAGAAGGUCUUCGGAUUGUAAAGCACUUUAAGUUGGGAGGAAGAGCAGUAAGUUAAUACCUUGCUGUUUUGACGGUACCAACAGAAUAAGCACCGGCUAACUUCGUG
rnacentral:rRNA from 1 species